rnacentral:rRNA from 1 species
CCUGUUUAACAAAAACAUGUCUUUUUGAGUUAUUUUUAAAGUCUGACCUGCCCACUGAAAAUUUAAAUGGCCGCAGUAUCCUGACUGUGCAAAGGUAGCAUAAUCAUUAGUCUUUUAAUUGAAGGCUGGUAUGAACGGUUGGACGAGGUAUAAGCUGUUUCAUAUAAAUUUAUAAUAGAAUUUUAUAUUUUAGUCAAAAAGCUAAAAUAUUAUUAAAAGACGAGAAGACCCUAUAAAUCUUUAUAUUUUUUGGUGUUUAAGUUUUUUAGGUUUAUUUUAUUUUUACACUAGAAGGUAUUUUGUUGGGGUGAUGUUAAAAUUUAAUGAACUUUUAAUUGUUAAAAUCAUUAAUUUAUGAGUUAUUGAUCCAUUAAUAGUGAUUAUAAGAUUAAGUUACUUUAGGGAUAACAGCGUAAUUUUUUUGGAGAGUUCAUAUCGAUAAAAAAGUUUGCGACCUCGAUGUUGGAUUAAGAUAUAAUUUUAGGUGUAGCCGCUUAAAU